rnacentral:rRNA from 1 species
GAUGAACGCUGGCGGCGUGCUUAACACAUGCAAGUCGAACGGAAAGGCUCCUGCUUGCAGGGGUACUCGAGUGGCGAACGGGUGAGUAACACGUGGGUGAUCUGCCCUGCACUUCGGGAUAAGCCUGGGAAACUGGGUCUAAUACCGGAUAGGACGAUGGUUUGGAUGCCAUUGUGGAAAGUUUUUCGGUGUGGGAUGAGCUCGCGGCCUAUCAGCUUGUUGGUGGGGUAAUGGCCUACCAAGGCGUCGACGGGUAGCCGGCCUGAGAGGGUGUACGGCCACAUUGGGACUGAGAUACGGCCCAGACUCCUACGGGAGGCAGCAGUGGGGAAUAUUGCACAAUGGGCGCAAGCCUGAUGCAGCGACGCCGCGUGGGGGAUGACGGCCUUCGGGCUGUAAACUCCUUUCGCUAGGGACGAAGCGCAAGUGACGGUACCUGGAGAAGAAGCACCGGCUAACUACGUG